UACAGGGGGUGCAAACGUUGCUCGGAAUUAUUGGGCGUAAAGCGCGCGUAGGCGGUCUCUUAAGUCGGAUGUGAAAGCCCUUGGCUCAACUGAGGAAGUGCAUCCGAAACUGAGAGGCUUGAGUACGAAAGAGGGUCGCGGAAUUCCCGGUGUAGAGGUGAAAUUCGUAGAUAUCGGGAGGAACACCGGUGGCGAAGGCGGCGACCUGGGUCGAUACUGACGCUGAGGCGCGAAAGCGUGGGGAGCAAACAGG
rnacentral:rRNA from 1 species